rnacentral:rRNA from 1 species
UGAUCCGGGUUGCGGACAGUGUCUGGUGGGUAGUUUGACUGGGGCGGUCUCCUCCUAAAGAGUAACGGAGGAGCACGAAGGUUGGCUAAUCCUGGUCGGACAUCAGGAGGUUAGUGCAAUGGCAUAAGCCAGCUUGACUGCGAGCGUGACGGCGCGAGCAGGUGCGAAAGCAGGUCAUAGUGAUCCGGUGGUUCUGAAUGGAAGGGCCAUCGCUCAACGGAUAAAAGGUACUCCGGGGAUAACAGGCUGAUACCGCCCAAGAGUUCAUAUCGACGGCGGUGUUUGGCACCUCGAUGUCGGCUCAUCACAUCCUGGGGCUGAAGUAGGUCCCAAGGGUAUGGCUGUUCGCCAUUUAAAGUGGUACGCGAGCUGGGUUUAGAACGUCGUGAGACAGUUCGGUCCCUAUCUGCCGUGGGCGCUGGAGAACUGAGGGGGGCUGCUCCUAGUACGAGAGGACCGGAGUGGACGCAUCACUGGUGUUCGGGUUGUCAUGCCAAUGGCACUGCCCGGUAGCUAAAUGCGGAAGAGAUAAGUGCUGAAAGCAUCUAAGCACGAAACUUGCCCCGAGAUGAGUUCUCCCUGACUCCUUGAGAGUCCUGAAGGAACGUUGAAGACGACGACGUUGAUAGGCCGGGUGUGUAAGCGCAGCGAUGCGUUGAGCUAACCGGUACUAAUGAACCGUGAGGCUUAACCUU